rnacentral:rRNA from 1 species
GNCUGGGGGCGUGCUACCAUGCAGUCGACGAUGAAGCCCAGCUUGCUGGGUGGAUUAGUGGCGAACGGGUGAGUAACACGUGAGUAACCUGCCCUUAACUCUGGGAUAAGCCUGGGAAACUGGGUCUAAUACCGGAUAGGAGCGCCUACCGCAUGGUGGGUGUUGGAAAGAUUUAUCGGUUUUGGAUGGACUCGCGGCCUAUCAGCUUGUUGGUGAGGUAAUGGCUCACCAAGGCGACGACGGGUAGCCGGCCUGAGAGGGUGACCGGCCACACUGGGACUGAGACACGGCCCAGACUCCUACGGGAGGCAGCAGUGGGGAAUAUUGCACAAUGGGCGAAAGCCUGAUGCAGCGACGCCGCGUGAGGGAUGACGGCCUUCGGGUUGUAAACCUCUUUCAGUAGGGAAGAAGCGAAAGUGACGGUACCUGCAGAAGAAGCACCGGCUAACUACGUGCCAGCAGCCGCGGUAAUACGUAGGGUGCGAGCGUUAUCCGGAAUUAUUGGGCGUAAAGAGCUCGUAGGCGGUUUGUCGCGUCUGUCGUGAAAGUCCGGGGCUUAACCCCGGAUCUGCGGUGGGUACGGGCAGACUAGAGUGCAGUAGGGGAGACUGGAAUUCCUGGUGUAGCGGUGGAAUGCGCAGAUAUCAGGAGGAACACCGAUGGCGAAGGCAGGUCUCUGGGCUGUAACUGACGCUGAGGAGCGAAAGCAUGGGGAGCGAACAGGAUUAGAUACCCUGGUAGUCCAUGCCGUAAACGUUGGGCACUAGGUGUGGGGACCAUUCCACGGUUUCCGCGCCGCAGCUAACGCAUUAAGUGCCCCGCCUGGGGGAGUACGGCCGCAAGGCUAAAACUCAAAGGAAUUGACGGGGGCCCGCACAAGCGGCGGAGCAUGCGGAUUAAUUCGAUGCAACGCGAAGAACCUUACCAAGGCUUGACAUGUUCUCGAUCGCCGUAGAGAUACGGUUUCCCCUUUGGGGCGGGUUCACAGGUGGUUGCAUGGUUGUCGUCAGCUCGUGUCGUGAGAUGUGGGUUAAGUCCCGCAACGAGCGCAACCCUCGUUCCAUGUUGCCAGCACGUCAUGGUGGGGACUCAUGGGAGACUGCCGGGGUCAACUCGGAGGAGUGAGACGACGUCCAAUCAUCAUGCCCCCUUAAUGUCCUGGGCUUCACGGCAAUGGCUUAACAUGGNCCGGGUACCA